GAGUUUGAUCCUGGCUCAGAUUGAACGCUGGCGGCAGGCCUAACACAUGCAAGUCGAGCGGAUGACGGGAGCUUGCUCCUUGAUUCAGCGGCGGACGGGUGAGUAAUGCCUAGGAAUCUGCCUGGUAGUGGGGGACAACGUUUCGAAAGGAACGCUAAUACCGCAUACGUCCUACGGGAGAAAGCAGGGGACCUUCGGGCCUUGCGCUAUCAGAUGAGCCUAGGUCGGAUUAGCUAGUUGGUGGGGUAAUGGCUCACCAAGGCGACGAUCCGUAACUGGUCUGAGAGGAUGAUCAGUCACACUGGAACUGAGACACGGUCCAGACUCCUACGGGAGGCAGCAGUGGGGAAUAUUGGACAAUGGGCGAAAGCCUGAUCCAGCCAUGCCGCGUGUGUGAAGAAGGUCUUCGGAUUGUAAAGCACUUUAAGUUGGAGGAAGGGCAGUAAGUUAAUACCUUGCUGUUUUGACGUUACCGACAGAAUAAGCACCGGCUAACUCUGUGCCAGCAG
rnacentral:rRNA from 1 species